rnacentral:rRNA from 1 species
AGAGAGUGCAAGCGUUAAUCGGAAUUACUGGGCGUAAAGCGCAUGUAGGUGGGUGUUUAAGUCGGGAUGUGAAAGCCCUAGGCUUAACCUAGGAAUUGCAUUCGAUACUGGAUGCCUAGAGUAUGGUAGAGGGAAGUGGAAUUUCCGGCGUAGCGGUGAAAUGCGUAGAUAUCGGAAGGAACACCAGUGGCGAAGGCGGCUUCCUGGACCAAUACUGACACUGAGAUGCGAAAGCGUGGGGAGCAAACAGGAUUAGAGACCCUGGUAGUCCACGCCGUCAACGAUGAGAACUAGACGUUGGGAGGUAUAACCUUUUAGUGUCGAAGCUAACGCGUUAAGUUCUCCGCCUGGGGAGUACGACCGCAAGGUUA